rnacentral:rRNA from 1 species
UACGUAGGGGGCAAGCGUUAUCCGGAUUUACUGGGUGUAAAGGGAGCGUAGACGGCAAUGCAAGUCUGGAGUGAAAGGCGGGGGCCCAACCCCCGGACUGCUCUGGAAACUGUAUAGCUGGAGUGCAGGAGAGGUAAGUGGAAUUCCUAGUGUAGCGGUGAAAUGCGUAGAUAUUAGGAGGAACACCAGUGGCGAAGGCGGCUUACUGGACUGUAACUGACGUUGAGGCUCGAAAGCGUGGAGAGCAAACAGG